rnacentral:rRNA from 1 species
CAGCUGGAAACGGCUGCUAAUACCGAAUACGUUCUUUUCAUCGCAUGGUGAGAAGAAGAAAAGGACGGCCUCUACACAAAGCGGUCGGCCGAAGGAGGGGUUUUUGCGUCUGAUUAGCUAGUUGGAGGGGUAACGGCCCAACAAGGCGACGAUCAGUAGCCCGGUCUGAGAGGAUGAACGGCCACAUUGGGACUGAGACACGGCCCAGACUCCUACGGGAGGCAGCAGUGGGGAAUCUUCCGCAAUGGACGAAAGUCUGACGGAGCAACGCCGCGUGAGUGAAGACGGUCUUCGGAUUGUAAAGCUCUGUUAUACGGGACGAACGGCAAGGUGGUAAAUAGCCAUCAUGAGUGACGGUACCGUAAGAGAAAGCCACGGCUAACUACGUGCCAGCAGCCGCGGUAAU